UACGGGGGGAGCAAGCGUUGUUCGGAUUUACUGGGCGUAAAGGACGCGUAGGCGGUCAGCACAAGUCAGUUGUGAAAUCUCCGGGCUUAACUCGGAAAGGUCAACUGAUACUGUGCGACUAGAGUGCAGAAGGGGCAACUGGAAUUCUCGGUGUAGCGGUGAAAUGCGUAGAUAUCGAGAGGAACACCUGCGGCGAAGGCGGGUUGCUGGGCUGACACUGACGCUGAUGCGCGAAAGCCAGGGGAGCGAACGGG
rnacentral:rRNA from 1 species